CCUACGGGGGGCAGCAGUAGGGAAUUUUCGUCAAUGGGCGCAAGCCUGAACGAGCGAUGCCGCGUGAGUGAAGAAGGCCUUCGGGUCGUAAAGCUCUGUUGCGGGGGAAAAAAGGCAGCAUCAGGAAAUGGGUGCUGACUGAUGGUGCCCCGCCAGAAAGUCACGGCUAACUACGUGCCAGCAGCCGCGGUAAUACGUAGGUGGCGAGCGUUAUCCGGAAUGAUUGGGCGUAAAGGGUGCGUAGGCGGCCUGCUAAGUCUGGAGUGAAAGGUACCGGCUCAACCGGUACAGGCUCUGGAAACUGG
rnacentral:rRNA from 1 species